UACCUUGACGUGAUUGGUCCACGCCGGCACACCGGAUGCUCACAGAGAAGUAUAUUUGGAUCUGGGAUGCUCUUCAUACAGUACUGGACGUGUCAUUUACUGAGAAAUAAAGAGGUGAAGACUGAUAACUUGGAGCAAUCACUCUAACAGGUUCUACGUAGAGAGGAGAGAGAGGAACAAGUGAGACAGAGGGGAGGAGAGAAAGAGGGAGAGAAGAGAAGAACUCUUAGCCACCCCACUUAACCAUCCACGGGCGUGUCUCUUAGCAGUUCUGUGUCUCAUUGUAGAAGAGUGUACAAGUAGGCUACAGAUUCUCAAAGAAACCACUGUCUUUGUACUAUUCUGCACAUCCCACUCUAACUCUUAAAUUCCCCGGGGCUGGACUUCAUACAGAACAGCAAGAGAGCCCCUGAUCAGAGAGAAGCCUCAGUCUGCGCCCUGACUGAGUUGGUGUCCUGUUUCCUAUUGAUUUAUUUCCCAGAAGAACAGUCAUCGGUGGAUAGAGAUUGACGUUGAACUACAGACCGUAGAUAACCUGGGGCUAGCAGAGACUACUAUGGAGUCAGCACAGAAUAAAGCUCAACCAACCUCUCCUCAUAAACAGACAGUGAAGAACAGGUCCAAGUCAACAGAUGAGAUUCAACAAGCCAAAAAGGCUUUUCACACGACACAGAAAUCAUUGCCAGGGAAGCCGGAGACUGAGAAUGAGGAGCCCCCAGAGAGUCCAUCCUCAUCAGAAGAACUGAAAUGAAGGGGCAGACAGCACCAGGCAGAGAGUCAGAGUCAUGGGCUACACCAAUCAUUCCUCUGGAAAUCUAUUCAGUUGUCUGCAGUUUUUAUUCUCAUAACGACAAAAAGGCUGUACAUUUUUUGUAAACGUCUUAUGAAUGUGGUUGUUAACUAAAUAAGAAAAAGUGUAAAAUGCAUUGUUUGUGAGGAUAUAAUGUUCAAAGAAUGACUAGAGACUUACUCUACAAAACACAGACACUUAACAGAAAUGUGUAAUUAAGUGAGUGGAAAACACAUGUGCAUGUGCCAGUUGGGAUGUGUGUAAGUAUGAGGUAUAGUGGAUUUGUUAUGUACACUCUCCUAAAACAUUGAGUUUUUUUGGAACUGAUGUCAGAAUUAAUGUCUGUAUGCCACUUUGAAAAUGUGAAGCAAUUGAACUUGUAAAUAAACCUUGUG